rnacentral:lncRNA from 1 species
AAAUGUAUAUUUGGUGGUGCCGGAGUUUGAGCCCAGAGCUUCGUAGGUGCUAGUUAAGCUCUCUGCCACUCUCCUACCUCCCAUGCCAGUUUAUUUAUUUAUUUAUUUAUUUAUUUAUUUAUUAUUUAUAGAUUUAUCUUUAGAUUUAUUUAUUUUAUGUAAGUACACUGUAGCUGUCUUCAGACACUCCAGAAGAGGGCGUCAGAUCUCAUUACGGAUGGGUGUGAGCCAUGUGGUUGCUGGGAUUUGAACUCAGGACCUUCAGAAGGGCAGUCAGUGCUCUUACCUGCUGAGCCACCUCUCCAGCCCUGCCAGUUUAUUUUUGACUCAGGGUCUCUCACUGAAUCUGGAGCUUGCUGAUUGUCUAGACUGUCUGACCAUCAAGCUUCAGGAACCCUCCUUUCUCCACUGAUCCCAAUGCCCAGAGUGCUGUAGUUAUAGACCUGUAUGUCUGGGUUUGAUGACCCACUUGGCUUUUUCAUGGGUGCUGGGGCGAGGGUCCGCACUCGGGUCCUCAGCUUGAACGGCUGGUACUUGUGUCUAGAGCCGUCUGUGCAGCCUGCUGAGCCUCGCUGGCUUGUGAGUAAGGCUCUGAGAACUUGAAGGACUUUAACAGGCUAACCUGAGGUUUGGGCUUCACUUCUUCAGAGCAUUUGUGUUGCGCUGAGCAUGUGGCUCACUUUGUAGCUGCUUGCCUGGCACACACGAGGCCCCGGGGGCAGCCCCCAGGACCCCAUGAACUUUAUAUGAUGGUCCCUAUCUGUCAUCUCAGAUUCUGCUUGGCUACUCUAGGGAGUAGGAAGCCAAUCUGGGCUAGAGAGACACUGGCCCCCAAAAAGGAAUCUGUGAUGAAGGUCAUGGGGCUCAGGAGUGUCUGCAUCUUGCCUGGGAUGACAGUUUGAUAGAGGCCAGCAGAAACGUCCCGCCAAGGGCUAGAGGCCAAGGACGAGUCUGUCCCAUCACCAGAGCUGAAAUCAGGGUGUGUUUCUUUCAGUGGUGGUGCCCCAGCCUCCUAGAGAGGCCUGUGUUAGUCACCUAGGUCUAAACUUGUGUCCUUAAGCCGUGGGAACUUCAUGGCUAGGCUGGGCGCUUCUAGUGUCUUGAGGGCUCUUGGCUCUCUCCAUUCCUGGAGGUGUUCACCGUUCCUCAGUUGACGGCAUCAAUGCUCCUGUUUCUGUCUCUAUCUCUGUCUCAACGUGGCCUCCUUUGUAUUUUCCAUUUCCUCUUCAAAACUGAGUUAUUAGUAUUAUUUAUGUGUAUGUGCAUAUGCCUGCAUGAGUUUAUGUGCAUAGCAUGCGUGCUUGGUCCCCAUGAAGGCCGGAGGACAUCAGAGCCCCUGGACCUGGAGUUACAGAUAGUGUGAGCCACCACGUAGCUGCUGGGAACCGAACACCGAUGCCUGCAUCCAUCGAGCCAUCUUUCCAGCUCCCCUGCUCUUCUUUGAGACCCAACCUAAGUCCAAACACUUUGACAUUCAUUCCUAUUUUGAGUUAAGAGUCUCACCGUGCAGCCCAGGCAGGCUUUAAAUUCACAAUCCUCCUGCCUCAGCUUCCCAAGUGCUGAAGUGACAGGCCUGUGCCACUGCGCUGAUCUGAUAUUUUUAACUUGACAUCUGGCCAGACCCUAUUUCCGAUUAAGGUCACACAGGGCACAGUCAAGUAUCUUAGGAUCACCACCUACAUAGAUGCAUGGCAGAGUACCUUUUGCCCAGACAGCCCCUACUGUGAAAAUAAACUACAGGACAAAAAUCACCAGUCUGUCCUGAUAGCCGGCUCUCAGCACUUGAAGGUAGGAAGCAAGAGGAUCAGAAGUUCAAGGUCAUCUCUGCUAAUAGUGAGUUUGAAGCCAGUCCAGAGGGGAAUGACCCUCUGGGAAGACAAAGGUGACAUGACACUCGCGUCCCCCAGCGUCCCAAGCACAGAGGUAACUUUGGUUCAUGGCUCUUUGUUCCUUGCUGCAAAAAACAUGUUUGUGUUUAGAAGAGCCCCUCCCUGCCCUCCCUGGCCUCCCUCUCCUGGCCCCCGGUACCCGUGCGCACUUCCUGCACUUUGCAGUCUCGGAUUGGGCACUCAGAUGGCUCUGGGUCUCCCCCUUCUUUCCAGAGCGCUGGAGGGAUCAGCCGUGUUUCCCAUCAGCCAAGGCCGCGGGGAAUGGCUGUGCAUUCAAUAGCAUGUCUCUGGGAAAUUGGGCCUAUUCCAGCACCAUCUUCCCGUGUCUUCCGGAGCUUUCUCAGGAGAUAUAUUUGUUUCUACAGACGCCACUAAUUACUCCUGGCUGGGUGCCUGGAAAUCACAUCUGUGGAUUAAGGUGCCACCAGAUCUGAGCUUCCUCUAGGGCCCCAGGAGUCCUGACAUAUCCCCCAUUCAGCAUACUUGCUCGCUUGCUUGCUUGAGCUCAGUUUGAUUUCUCCACUCAUACAGCCCAGGACCCCUUGCCUAGGGAAUGGGGCCGCCAAUGGUGGACUAGGUCUUCUCAGGUCAGAUAAGCUAAUCAUUUAGACAAUCCCCACAGGCCAAUCCAAAUGUAGGCAGGCCGUCCUUCACUGAGACCCUCUUCCCAGGGGAAUCUACGUUGUGUCAGGUUGCCAGAGCUAACCGCUGCAAGGUUAUAAUUUUAAAGGACAAGACACAUCAUUGGGCGUGCUUAGCUCAAAGUUGUGGCUUAAGUACGUAAAAGAGUAAAGGUUAAUCAACACAGAAUUUGGUCCCCGAAGUCACUUGCCGUGUUUAGUCACCCUCAGAGCUUCACAGUAAGAACUUUUCUC